rnacentral:lncRNA from 1 species
AUGACUACACAUAGCCACAAAGGAGGCUGGGAACUUUCUCACUUGGAACCUACAUCCCAGAAACAACUCUUUUCAGUGAGCCUACAGGGAGCCCUUCGAGCAGCACCUCCUGCUGGGCGUCAGCGUUUCCUGCAUUGUCAUCCUGGCCGUCUGCCUGUUGUGCUAUGUCAGCAUCACCAAGAUUAAGAAAGAAUGGUGGGAUCAGAUUCCCAACCCAGCCCGCAGCCGCCUCGUGGCUAUAAUAAUCCAGGAUGCUCAGGGGUCACAGUGGGAGAAGCGGUCCCGAGGCCAGGAACCAGCCAAGUGCCCACACUGGAAGAAUUGUCUUACCAAGCUCUUGCCCUGUUUUCUGGAGCACAACAUGAAAAGGGAUGAAGAUCCUCACAAGGCUGCCAAAGAGAUGCCUUUCCAGGGCUCUGGAAAAUCAGCAUGGUGCCCAGUGGAGAUCAGCAAGACAGUCCUCUGGCCAGAGAGCAUCAGCGUGGUGCGAUGUGUGGAGUUGUUUGAGGCCCCGGUGGAGUGUGAGGAGGAGGAGGAGGUA